UGGGGGAUAUUGCACAAUGGGCGAAAGCCUGAUGCAGCGACGCCGCGUGGGGGAUGAAGGCCUUCGGGUUGUAAACUUCUUUUGCUCUGAACAAGGCGCACCAUGGGGUGUGUUGAGUGUAGGGGUUGAUUAGCGCCGGCUAACUACGUGCCAGCAGCCGCGGUAAUACGUAGGGCGCGAGCGUUGUCCGGAAUUAUUGGGCGUAAAGGGCUUGUAGGUGGCUGGUUGCGUCUGUCGUGAAAGCUCAUGGCUUAACUGUGGGUUUGCGGUGGGUACGGGCUGGCUUGAGGGCAGUAGGGGAGGCUGGAAUUCCUGGUGUAGCGGUGGAAUGCGCAGAUAUCAGGAGGAAUACCGGUGGCGAAGGCGGGUCUCUGGGCUGUUACUGACACUGAGGAGCGAAAGCAUGGGGAGCGAACAGG
rnacentral:rRNA from 1 species